rnacentral:tRNA from 1 species
GGGGAUGUAGCUCAGUGGUAGAGCGUCCGCUUCGCAUGCGGAAGGCCGGGGUUCGAUCCCCCGCAUCUCCA